rnacentral:rRNA from 1 species
AUGGGGGCGGCGAAGAGAAGCGGGGGUGAGAAGGGGCUCCUCUGGAGGCUGCCGGAGGUCACCUCAAGGGAGCUCGGCAAGAUCGGCCCCGCCUUCGGGCUCGGCAUCGGCUGCGGCGCCGGCGCCGGAGUCGGCUUCUUCGGCGGUGCAGGAUUAGGUUAUGGAUUUCCUGGACUCACUUUAGGCUUCGGAGUUGGAGCUGGCUGCGGUAUAGGAUUUGGUUUUGGUUAUGGCUUGGGCAAAGGAAUUGCUCAUGAUGAAAAGAAAAGACAUUCAAACGUUGGUAAAAUGUUCCAGGAAACUCCAAAUCUGCCUAAGGACACCAUUGCCGGUUUAUUUGACGAGUUGGUUGUAAACACCAAAAAGCUUGCCACCGCAACUUCAAAACAGAUUGAAAAAUGGCACUGA